GACGAACGCUGGCGGCGGGCUUAACACAUGCAAGUCGAACGGAAAGGCCCUGCUAUUGUGGGGUUCUCGAGUGGCGAACGGGUGAGGAACACGUGUGUAACCUGCCCUUGACUUUCGGAGAACUUCAGGAAACUGGGGCUAAUACCGUAUAGCAUCCGCCGCUGCAUGGUGAGGGUUGGAAAUUCUCUGCGGGUGGGGAUGGACGCGCGGCUUAUCGGCUUGUUGGUGGGGUAGUGGUUUACCAAGGCUUUGACGGGUAGCCCGCCUGAGAGGGUGGACGGCGACCAUGGGACUGAGAUACGGACCAGACGGCAACGGGGGGCAGCGGUGGGGAGUAUUAUACAAUGGGCGGAAGCCUGAGGCAGAGGCGCCGCGGGCGGAAUGCCGGCCUGCGGGUUGUAAAAAGCAUCCGGUUGUGACGAAGCGUGAGUGACGGUAAUGGGAGAAGAAGCACCGGCUAACUACGUG
rnacentral:rRNA from 1 species